GAACAGAGUUGUGAAGCUGUAACUGAAGCC
rnacentral:piRNA from 1 species